AGAGGCGGGAGAGAGCAAUGGGAGAGGGGGAGAGAGAGGACUCCAUCCCGGAAGGCCUGCACUCGGCCUUCUCUCAGAGCAGCAGAGAACUGGGGCCUCUGUGGAAUUGGAGUCCGUGCUGCUCACAUUGUCUGAAAUAGGCCCAGUGUUCCACCUUCCUCCUCUGCUCCACUGUCAUCUAAUGUCUGAAGGGAUCAACGAGGGCACAGGAACCAAAGUUCACUGACUGCUCAACGAGAGACUUCCCCAAAGUAGCUGGCUCUUUCCGGUGGGAUAAGGCAAAAGGAGGGAAAGGUUGCGUUGCCCUGUUGUUUGUUCUGCUUUUCCUUAGGUCCUUCUGCAGAAGAAUGUUCUCAUCAUGGAAGCCAUUUCAGGGCCCCAAAUUAGACAGUAAUAAAAAAUA